CUGGGUGCCACUUUUGCUAGCCUACACAUGCAGUCUAUCUCUCUUAUGUCUAUGGCGCACACACAUACAUAUAACAUGUGAGAAGGUUCAUAUCUUGAUAAUUAAGCUUAAAUGAAACAAAACACUGAAACGCAGCCUCCAUUUUAUUUUUACAGCUAGCAACUAGUUUUCUGUUAGAAAUUUAUGAAUGUAAAGAUCUUGUGCGAAAAGGAACAAUCAAUCACAGUGCAGUAUAGUCAGUUAAUAAUUAACAUUUUAAGGUUAUGUUGAGCCUGGCUCUAAAAUAUCACCAUGGAGGUGCAUUGCGCACUCUUGAUGUUUCUACUCAAUUAGAUAUUAUUUAAAACACAACAUAUUACAUUAUUAUUGAAACUUUACAAGAGAGUUCUAGUUUUAACAGCUUGAGGCAAGCCUAUUAUAAACUUGAAAAAGUACUCCAAAUAAAAAAUAACUCAGUGUACGUUUUGAUACAUUUGAUAUAUUAUGGCAAGGAUUCUUUUGUUUAUUAUGAAUAAUUGGAUAUGAAGAAUAAUGUUCAUUGAAGAAGUUUAUCCAUGACUAGUGGUUGUACGUUUCUGUACCAUUACGAACAAAAACAUACAGAAAUAAUAUACAAAAAUGCACAGAAACCUACAUAAUAGUAAAGAAAGAUACAAAAACGUACAAUUACAUACUAAAUUGUACAAAAUCGUACAAAAAUACUCAAAUAUGCGGAGAUAUAUAAAUUUAUCUACGGUAUAAGGAAAUAUUUUUUUUACAAAAAAUUACAAAAACAUACGAAAAUAUACUUAAUUUUAUGCAAAGGUAUUAAAAUGUACGUGAAUUCACCCAGGAUUCUUAAGGGUGUUCUAUGUUUUAAGCCAGUGGGAAGAGGAGCAAGGCAUCUCCUACCACUAUGCACCAGCUUUCCUCUCCACACACUUUCUUGAGCAGCCGACAAGUUUCGCGUUUUAUUUACGAUUUAUUUGAUCUUAUAUUAGCGCAUCAACAUAAACUGAAAUUUUGCGUAAAUCUACUUAAGAAGGUGACAAGUAUGAUCCAUAGUUUUUCAUUUCAUUAUUUAAACUGUAAAAUCAUGGCACUCAUGUCAAUCUAUUAUUCACCAUGCUACAUAAAAGCUUAUGUGUAACCUGCAAACUUUGAACUCGAAUAUCACGAAGAUAUGUUCAGUAAUAAUUUUAAGGAAAACACGGAUCAUUUCUAAUAUGCUAGAUGAAUACAUUUUCAAAUUUUCAGUUCAUUCUCGUGACUGUUGUGUAACCAUAGAACACCCUUAAUGCAACAGUCAGGUAAUGAGUUUAUGCAAAGAAGCAAAUUGAAAAAAUAAAUACACUUAUAGCUUAAAUGGCUUCAUUGAUGUAUUUUAUAUAUGACAAAUGACAAUCCUAUCUUCCUUUAUUGAAAAAAGGGAUGAACGGAUGUUCCUAAGUCAUCGGAUUUCGAAGGGAAAUUACAAAUUUCAAAUUUUAAUUUGUGCUUGUUAUAGAUAUUUGAGAAAUAAUUUAGAAUUUUCAAAAAUUUGGAUUCUUAAUUUCAGAAAAUUUUUAUUAAUUAUUGAAUUUUUUAAGUUCAUAACUUUACUUAUAAAAGAUAAUACAGGUUAAAAGUUUCUUGUACCCAUAGACAUAAGAGAGUCUCUUAUGUCUAUGCUUGUACCAUAGUUCUGAUUUAUUUGUCCUGUUCCAACUGUUUUAACCCCCAAAAUUUGAAAAGUUUGGUCUGAUAAUAUAACAAUAAUUAAUAUCGUGAAAUAUAUUUGAUGAUAUCCAAACAUUUAAAAAAUGAUUAACAACAGUUUAGGUAACUUAUUCGUGCACACAAAGCCUGCUAGGAUUUUGUUGGUAGCUAAAAAGUUUGCCCGCUAGAUUGUGUCAAUACAAAAGUCUUAUGAGCUAAAAGUGCAAAUAUUUUAAAAACAUUUAGGCAAAUUUAUGGCCUGACUGCAAUGCUAAAAGUUUUUUACUCUUUUAUGAGGAAUUUUUAAAUUAUAUUUUACAAGGAAUAAAAAGGUUAAUAAUUGUAAUCAGAUCAUUUAAAUAAAUGAACAUUUAGAAUAAUA